rnacentral:rRNA from 1 species
UACGUAGGGUGCGAGCGUUGUCCGGAAUUACUGGGCGUAAAGAGUGUGUAGGCGGUGCUCUAAGUUCGGUGUGAAAUCUCCCGGCUUAACUGGGAGGGUGCGCCGGAAACUGGAGUGCUCGAGCGUGGGAGAGGAAAGCGGAAUUCCUGGUGUAGCGGUGAAAUGCGUAGAUAUCAGGAGGAACACCUGCGGUGUAGACGGCUUUCUGGACCAUUGCUGACGCUGAGACACGAAAGCGUGGGUAGCAAACAGG